GAUUUACCUAUAUUUGAGUACCUACUAUGUGAUAGGCACAUCACUUAACAUUUUCAGUUUUUUUUAUAUUAUGCAGCACAUUUUGACCUCUAGGAAACUAUUCCUGCAGUGCAUAUCAG
rfam:Myotis lucifugus cont2.40226, whole genome shotgun sequence.